rnacentral:misc_RNA from 1 species
UCAAAUCCUCGUACCGAAUGACCUGCGAACACGUUCCGAAAAUCACAAGCGCUGUUGCGCCCUUGCUCGGUGUGGGUCGGCGACUUGUUGCCGGACGCGUCGAGCAUCGAAAACAAAAUCCGGCGCGGGAAGCGCCAAGGACUAGCGAAAUAGAGGACGGCCUUCCCGCGGCAUCCUGGCCGCGGGGAUUAAAAAGGGUCUCCAAAUGAAAAUGUUGUAUAAAUACAGUACGACUCUCGGCAACGGAUAUCUAGGCUCUCGCAUCGAUGAAGAACGUAGCAAACUGCGAUAGUUGGUGUGAAUUGCAGAAUCCCGUGAACCAUGGAGUCUUUGAACGCAAGUUGCGCCCGAAGCCAUUAGGCCGAGGGCACGUCUGCCUGGGCGUCACACGCAUUGCGUCGUCCCCCCCUCACCCGUGUCCCCAAAGGGUCGCGGGGGCCUUAGCGUGGGGGGCGGAAGUUGGCUUCCCGUGCAGCGUUUGCGGCUAGCCUGAAACAACGGUUCCCUCGGCGCGGACGUCGCGACAAGUGGUGGUCGUCGAGAUUGUACGCGAGUUGCCGGCAAGCUGCGUCGAGGAGAGCAUUUGGACCCCGUGCGAGACGAGUCCCUUCAGCGAGGGGCAA